GAUAAUGUAAUAUUCAUACUCACAGAUCCACCAGUAACACCAAGCCCUUGCCUACUAGUCAUGAAAGUAACAUUCCUCCACUUGGCAACAUAAUGAACCUACAAUAUAAAAGUUAAGCAGUGAACAUUUGUGACAUCUGACAACAUGAUAUAGUUGAGAACUUUUAAGGGAGAGGUAACUAGUAAACAAGGUUGCGAGUGGAGAGAUAUUUUGUGGUCCACUUCCCUUGGUUUGGAUGGUUGAUGAUGGACAAAUUAAUGAGUUAUUGUUGUAUGUGAUACAUGCUUCGAACAGGUAUAAACAAGUGAUCUCCAUCUUUUG